rnacentral:rRNA from 1 species
AAUGGCAGGUCAGCAUACUGCCGUGAAUACGUUCCCCGGGCCUUGUACACACCGCCCGUCACACCAUGAGAGUUGGGAAUACCCGAAGCCUGUGAGCCAACUUUUAAAGAGGCAACAGUCGAAGGUAGAAUCAAUGAUUGGGGUGAAGUCGUAACAAGGUACC